CAGUGGUGUGAGCGAUCCUUUGACCUAUGGUGUCAUUGGCUUUACACAGUGAGGCUACUGGAUUUGACUACAUGUUCCUUUGAUCUCUAGCCAUUCGAAUCCUUGCUAUGUAUGUUGACUUCAGUAGGUUCAAAUUUACUAUUUGGAGUAGGAUACACCUAGAUAAAAUCUAUCGACCUUAGUAGAAAAGGAGAUGUCCUAUGUGAUCUACGAGACUGAGUUUAAAAAGUCUUUGACCAAAGUA
rnacentral:lncRNA from 1 species